CAGUCGCCGCGGGAAUACGAAGGGGGCUAGCGUUGCUCGGAAUGACUGGGCGUAAAGGGCGCGUAGGCGGAUUGUUUAGUUAGGCGUGAAAUUCCUGGGCUUAACCUGGGGACUGCGCUUAAUACAGGCAGUCUAGAGUGAGGAAGAGGGUUGUGGAAUUCCCAGUGUAGAGGUGAAAUUCGUAGAUAUUGGGAAGAACACCGGUGGCGAAGGCGGCAACCUGGUCCUUGACUGACGCUGAGGCGCGAAAGCGUGGGGAGCAAACAGGAUUAGAUACCCCCGUAGUCCCUGUCUCUUAUAU
rnacentral:rRNA from 1 species